UACGGGGGGGGCAAGCGUUGUUCGGAAUUACUGGGCGUAAAGGGCUCGUAGGCGGCCAACUAAGUCGGAUGUGAAAUCCCCAGGCUUAACCUGGGAACUGCAUCCGAUACUGGAUGGCUUGAAUCCGGGAGAGGGAUGCAGAAUUCCUGGUGUAGCGGUGAAAUGCGCAGAUAUCAGGAGGAACACCAAUUGCGAAGGCAGCUCGCUGGGACGUUACUGACGCUGAGACGCGAAAGCGUGGGGAGCGAACAGG
rnacentral:rRNA from 1 species